GAAGCAGUUAGCGAGGGUGCCGCGGAUUGGUCGAGGAAGGAUACCACAUUUACAAGGGCGCCACCCAAAUAAAGGGAAGAUGCCACAGUCAAAAAGUGGGUGUCCAGGUUCAAAGGUGAAGAACAGGAGCCUGCUUUGAGUGGCGUCCGUGACGAGGAAAGGAGUUCAUGAAGUCAUCGGUUGCUUCGGCCGGACAACCAUAACCUAUCCCUCAUACUCACCCGAUCUGUCAUCGUCAGGUAAUCAAUCCCCUUUUUGGACCCUUAAAAGAAGAAGUUAGGGGUCAGCACUCCUCUGAUGGCUAACAGGUUAAGCGAGCUGUAAAAAGCUGGCUCAAAGCACAACCUGCUGAAUUUCACCAGGCUGGCAUCCGUGCCCUUUUUCAUCGAUGGACAGACAGUGUUGUGGAAAGGGGGGGAUGAUAUUGAAAAGUCCCCACUUUUGGGGCUUUAUUUCGGUGUGUAUAUUUCUGUACAUUGCCUUUCUAUUGCACUAAAUAAAGCUCGAGGAUUUUUGUGAUCAUAAAGCUCGUGGACGUGGUUAGCUGCCAUAUGCUCUGGCACGCCACCCCCUGAUAACCGAAAAGCUCUGAGCCCGAGUGCCCCCGAGCUGGGAGGAGCUGGCUGCGGUGGGUCUCUAUCAGUCACUGAGCAGUCACUUCUUAUCUCCCCAGGCUUUGAUGAGAGGAAAGGGAGGAAGAGGAGGGGAGGGGAGGGGAGGGGAGGGUGGUGGUGCUAGGGGUGUCUGAUCAUCUGAAUGUGAAGGUCAAGGAAUCUGAUAAGGGGUGAAGGUGCACCACGUGAACGAGACCCACAGUAGACAACCACUGGCGCGCUGCUCCAAUCUGUGCGGACUGGUUGCAAGAAAAGCUGGGUACACUUUGGACUGGCCGCCAUUCAAUCGUGUUGGAGGCUACUCCGAUGCGGCCAUUGCUUAUAGGGCUCAUCCCUUUCUUUUAAGAAAAAGAAGUCAUCUUUUUUCAAAUCUAAUGUUGAUAUGGCACAGCAAGGGCAGACAUUGCAGAAAGUUCCAUUUCCUGUUCACACAUGUGAUCUUCACACAAAUAACAAGACCGAUUCAACACAUUGAAUGUUAUUUAUCGAACAUGGUUUAAAAAGCACACUUUUUGUCCACGACGACAACAUUUUCGAACGAAUUGAUACCAGGAGGCACGCAAACAAAUGUGUGAGUAACCCAAUAGCUCAGCCUAAAAUCAGAGAUUAAGAGGGGAAAAAAAGCUUGAUUUUUCUUGUGUUUGACACUCGUUCAUUGUUCUUCUUUCCUGUGCCAUUAAUCGCAACAACGAGCGGGCGUGAUGCGGCUGCUUUGUGUGGACGUGAAAGACAUGCCGAUGGCGUAUGAAUAACGUCGAUAAAACAAGCUACAAGGGCGUAGUGAAUGUGAAUAGAAAGGACCUGCCUCGGCGGCCUUGUCGUCGUCCUUGAUCACCAUGGCGAUAAAGGCAACCCGCCCGCCGCAGGGAUCUUGUUGCAGACGCAAGAUAACGCAGACCUGUUGCGGCUAAGCACCAGGAGAUGAAGCUGGAUGAUGGAACGAGGGAGGAAGCCGUGGCAGGAAACCCCCCAGACAACCAAUAAUUUAACUUUAAUCUGAGCUCUGCAGGUGUACGCUGAACAAG